CUACGGGACGCUGCAGUGAGGAAUAUUGCACAAUGGGGGGAACCCUGAUGCAGCAACGCCGCGUGGAGGAUGACGCAUUUCGGUGUGUAAACUCCUUUUAUAUGUCAAGAAAAUGACGGUAGCAUAUGAAUAAGCACCGGCUAACUCCGUGCCAGCAGCCGCGGAUAAUACGGAGGGUGCAAGCGUUACUCGGAAUCACUGGGCGUAAAGGACGCGUAGGCGGGUUGGAAAGUCAGGUGUGAAAUCCUACAGCUUAACUGUAGAACUGCACUUGAAACUUCUAAGCUAGAGUAUGGGAGGGGGAGAUGGAAUUAGUGGUGUAGGGGUAAAAUCCGUAGAUAUCACUAGGAAUACCUAAAGCGAAGGCGAUCUCCUGGAACAUUACUGACGCUAAGGCGUGAAAGCGUGGGGAGCAAACAGGAUUAGAUACCCCCGUAGUC
rnacentral:rRNA from 1 species